rnacentral:lncRNA from 1 species
UCAAAUUUUUGUAAGUCGUCGUUGAGAUUCGGAGAAAUAAAGAGGAUUAAAACCGUUAAAUUCAAUCUUCAAAAUCAGCAGCAACAGCAAUAGCAUGCCAACGGUGGCUACUUGUCUCCGUUCAAAUUAGCCAAGUUGUUAGAUCCAGACGCAUCCUGGGAUAGGGAUCAAUCGGGAGAUGUGUUGCAUUGGAUUCGACAUGUGGUGGCUGUUGCUCUGAUUUUGUACGGCUUGUAAGACAGGAAAAAAAAAACCUAAUUAAAGAAUUGAAUUAAUUUGUAAGCCAAGGAAGAUUACAGAGAUGCAGCCAUGUGUAUUGUGUGGUGUGCUUAGCGAGCCAGAGAUGCAGCGGCGUGCCGGCGUUUGAUGACAGCAAGUGCGGUCAGUGAGGUGAGGCAGAGCAACUGGCGUUCAACGACAGCAAUGCGUGCCCAGCUCUGUGAGGCAACCGGCGUUCGAUGAUAACGACUGCAAGGCAGAUGGCAUUCGACGGUGAGGCAUUUGGGGUUGUUUUCGAUUUCAGCUGCAGCGGCUGCUUGUGAGCGGUGGGGAAGUCGUGAGUGCAUGCGAUUUUAGUUUUAGCUUUUAGGGUUGCUGGGACUAGUUUUUUUUUAGUUUAUAUAUUUUCCAACUGAAAAUUGAUUAAAUUAAUAAUUUAAUUAAAAAUCAGACGGAUCCGGAUAUCGGCUUUCUGGAUGCAAGCGCAUUCAGAUCCGGAUCCGGAUAUGUGCAUAUAGACUCUGGAUCCGAAUCUUUUGUAUCUUUGCGGAUGAUUCGGAUUUUUUUUUCAUCUCUAAUGACAACAAAGAUACGUAGGGUACAAAAUGUCCUUUUCAUUCAAAAGAUUUGAGCCAAUUAAUGAAUUUGUGUUUUUUUUCGAAUAUUUUCUAUUUUACGUCUUUC